GAUUAUCUUUGUGGCCCUCCUCUGGACUCUCUCCAACAGCUCCCUGUUGGAUUUUCCCAAAUUAUUUCAGUAUUUUGUCAUUUGGCUCUCUUCCUGCCUCAUCACAAACCCACCUAUUUUGUGUUUGUUUUUACCAUUUCUCUGUAAAUGCCUCUUCCUGGAAAACACAGUGACAGUAAAUAGCACAAGCUGCUGGCCAAGCUUCCGUUCCCAUGGUUUCACUUGCUCUAUUCUGUCAAGUUAUUUACAUACAGCAUACUAAGGAUAUAAUUUACUGGAAUGCUAGUAAGCACUAACAUUUGUGUCUGGCUUCAGUCCACAUAGGUCAGGCUUCCCCAGGCUGCUUCCUACUGUGAAUUCAUUGCCUACUCGCACGGCCCCGGGUUGCACUAUUUCAUGAAAGAACGGCGUGAUCUGCUCAUGCAGAAAGUACAAAAAGGACAGGCUGGGGUCAGUCGCUUUACCUGCUGUGUUGCACAACCCAGAUUUGUUCUGAACCUUGCUCUUGCAUACACGAGCCCUAGGGCGCUCAAGUGAAAGGGGUAAUCACGUCUUAACAGCUCUGGUGUGCUUCAGUACAGGAGAGAGAUUUCAAAACUAGCAUAGAUGUUUGAGAUUGACUAUAUUAUCUCUGAAAAUAGAGCUGCUGUCUCAUUCCCUGGUUCUGAAUUCAUCUAUCCCAGAGCCAUCUUGUACUCAGAGCCUUUUGGGGCAUGCAUUCCCCAGGCUUUGAAUUCCAAGAUUGCAGCUGCGUUAUACGGACUGGAUGGCAUGGCUCAUUUAAGGAGCUCAGUGUUAUCUUUUGCCCUUUGCUCUCCUGUGCCACACUGCACUGUUCCUGGCAUGCCAACAGGUCUGUCUGCAGCAGCAGGGUGAUUAACAGGCUGUUAGACGUCCUGCCCUGUGCCUGCUUUUCUUUAGCCAAAGUUGGAAGUGUAAGAAGUUUGUGUGACUUCUCUAAAAACCUGGAACGGGUCAGUGAGGUGGUUGAGAGAAUUUGCAACAAGAUAGUAAAAGCUGGUGAUAGGGCACACAGCAAAAGUCAGUCCUUGGGUUGCUGCAGCCUUCAUCUCAUUAAAUCAUGCACCUAACGAUGGGGUUUGGUUUGUAGGGGAGGAGCAGCAACACGUCCCUUGUGUGCGUAGUGGUUAAUGGUGUUUUUUCUCCUUUAGGUCUCUGAUGCAUGACUGCUGAGUGUUCUGUGUGCUGCCUUCUGAGCAGGUUUGAAGAACCAUGUCUGUGAGCAGCAGUGGUGAUGCUAAAUGUAGUCAAGCAAAUGAUGAGAGCUAGAAUAAGGUGUGGAGCAAGUUUCCCACAGUUUAACUGUUACAGAGGAUACACAUUUACCGUAUGAUGCAAUUUCUUACAGUUAAGGAUUUACAUGUUACUCCUGCACACCUAGCCAAAUACACCCUUUCUAUUUAAUGGCAAGGUAGAUUUGCACGGAGAGAAUUGGGUACUCAGCCAUUUCAUAGAUAGGAUAGAUGUUUUCCAUGUCAGUGUUUUUGCAGUGCUCCUUGAUAAGAGUACACAGUAGAAGUCCUUACCAUGCAGAUGUGUUCUACUGUCUCCAUUCUGGCAGUGGUGAAUCAUGUCCUCUGUGAGUCUUUGCUUUCACUGGAGCCAUUUCUGCUGAAAUAAUCCCCAGAGGGAUUAUUGCUGUUGUUAAGCUUUCUGGAAAAAUAAGAGGCAGAUGCGUCCUCGUGUGAAUUGGCAGGAGGGUGCUGCACAGCCAGGUGGGUGCUGCAUCUCACCUGGGAUGUAGAACAGUGUGUUGUUAUUAAUGAAUUCGUCCCAAUGAAGUCCAUUAGCCCUCCUGCAGAUCUCUGCCAGCUCAAAGCUCCUCUCAAAUCCUGGAUAGUGGGUGACCACUGGCCCAAUCCUACCCUCUAUAUGUAUUUAUAAUAUAUUGCCUCUAUUUCUUGACACAAUUUUUCACUUUAUAUAAAUCAAUAAGCCAAGGGAGUCAAGGAAAAAUAGAGAAGUGUGAUGUGCUGCUGACAGAACCCUGGAACGGAAUGGCAGUUGAGAAAGCUCAGAGGUGUCCUAGAUAAUACAGUUUGUGUGAAUGUUUCUGCUUUGUUAAAAGUUUUUAAUCCCAUCUGUCUUUCCAACUCUCAUCCCUGAGAAGGUUCUUUGCCUGCGGAUUAACCUUGUCAGGAGAACCAAGGCAUGUGACGUGCCUGGAGACAGGAGCAGUCUCAUCCAGAAGGCAGAAGCCUCGCACACUGCGUGUGGCAGUGCAAAGAUGAACAGGAGUCUUCAUGUAUGAAAUGGACCACUUCCAGAGAACCACAUCAAACUGCUACCGUGGAGUAACAGUGAGAUUCAAAGCUGUGGCACUGGCACUGUAUGACUGUCUGGCACUGAGCUGAAGGUGCAGCUAUUGUCUGCGUGCAUCACUGAAUUGGACUGAGACCAAACUACACACUUAAUAUCCAACAGCCACCAAUGCCCAGUGACAUGUUAACCACGUCAAUAAGCAAUUAGCUAAGCAGGUGCUGGGUUCUCCUGGUUAAAAGAAAACCAGACCUUCAUUAAAUUCUAAGAUAAGGUUAGAAAAAGAAUUGAUAUUGUAAUACGGUUAUCUGCUGCAUUAACUUGGGAACUGGCUAAUUUCCUCUUAAUUUGUUGACUUAACUAAAAUUGCCAAUGAAAUCAUAUAAAAUAUAGUGCAUUGCUUUGUUUUUUAAACAGCUUGGUGAAAUUAAAUGUAAAUUAGGCAAGCAAUGUGCUUUGGAAGGUUUACAUUUGCACACUCUCCGUCUGGAUGCAGUCCAUACCCAGGACAUGAGAUCUGUUUCAAUUCAUCACAUUGAAACCCAGGUCAUGGGCUCAGUAGGCAGACAGCAGCUGUGGAGUGAAAUCCUGAGCCUCCUCUGUACACCUCCAGAGUGAGCACAUAGACUGCAGCAUCCCCAGAAUCAAGGACCAGGAGAGUUUCCAUCUCACACUGCUGGGAAUGGAGCUGUUUAUCAGUUACAUGCCUUUGGACGUGCUGGCACACCUUUAUUCACCUCCAUUAAUCAAUACAAGAUAAACAAUUGCCAAAUACAUUUGCCCAUAAUGAACACCUAUGUUUGAAGUAAGACCAAGCAGGCAAUUAUGUAGAGCAAUAGUCAACUUCUGCAGGGCAAAACAGCCACCACCACUCAGCCUACAUUCCCAGCCUGCAGAGGUUCUAUUCCUGUCUGCUCAUUUUCUGUAUCUAUUUCUGUUCAUUAUUAUCUUUCAUGUUCCUUGGAAGAUUCAUUUAUAAACUUAAUGUUCUGCUUAAAUAAAAGCAUUCUCUGCUUAAAAAUACUUGCAUGCUCUAGUAAAAAUCUGCUUUCUGGAGUUAAGUGUUUUGUGUUUUGAGAUCUGCUGACUACCACGUUGCUAAUAUUAUUAUAUGUUUAUUACCUUCAAAAUGAAUUUGCCUUCCUGUAGCUGUCAUGCAAGAUUAUAAUGUGAAUUCCUCCGUUAAAAGCUGAAAAUGGUGUUCUGCUGCUCAGUGCUUAGUGUAUUCAUUUGCCCAUUUAUAAAGCAAGACUGGAUUGCAAAACAUAGCGAUUUAAACGUAAAUCUAUUGCUAAACUUUGGCCUGGAAACAUCAAGGUGCAAUCAUGAUCAUUCCUAUUUACACAAGCUGAGUACACAAGUGAAGAGUGAUAUGAGGGCAAGGCAGAGAAAGACUUGUGAAGCACCUCACUGGAGCCAAGCUGCACUGAGCUACAUUAACCAGUUGGAUUUUUCCCCUUUAAACACUUGUGGUUUUGUAAAUUUUGCAGCAUGGAGCCCUAUUUAAUAUGUGUAAAGCCUGUCCAAAGCCUAUUUGCUGCCCCUAUUCAUGUGCCUGUAUGUAAGUUUUGCAGCGCUAUGCAUAGCAUAGGUAGAAAAAGUAGUUACGUGUGUGCUUCCUUAUUCCUAAUGCAGAAGCAGCGUGAGGUGAAAAAAGAGCAAAAGGGGAAGCAAGAAUUUCUGCUGAAAAGAAGAAGAAAAAACAGGUCCCAGUGAUCCAUUUUUUAUCUGGAUACAUUUUACUGGGGCAACCCACCGAUGUCCCUGCUUACUGCUGGGUCCCGCUGCACUCCAGCAGCUGGUCAGCACGUACACACACAUAUGGAAUACCCAAGGCACGUUUCAGUACGAGCAUAGUUUCAGGCUCCUUUCACAACACUGAAGCUGUUAAUGACAAGACAUGCCUUUCACCCCUUGUCUAUUUGUACGUAACGCUGUGCCAUACUCACCAGGCACUAUAAGCCCUACCCAAGGCAAGAGCUGAGCACAAGGAACCUGCCCAAAGCACUGCCUCCCUUGGCACACCUCCAGAUGGUGAUCCUCAUAGCAAACCCCAGCCUGCCUGAUGCUCCCAGUGCGAAAAGGACACCUUAAUGCUUUACAGGUUGUUUAUGAUUAACAAGUUGAAUAGCGUUUACUGGAAGCAUUUUUUUUUUUGGACAAGAUCAGCUCUGCGAAUAGACAGGAAUAUUAGGCAGUUGGGUGCUCCUUUCCUUCUGUAGCAUGUAGGAAAACUGCUGUUGGAGUUUUUUUCCUGUUAGAAACUCAGCAACUCAGUCAGGUGGAUGAUUAAAGCACUUGGGAAUCAGCCCAGGACUUCUGUGAUGCUCUUGAAUAACAGUAUUGUCAGUGAGAUCUUCUGAAGAUGGAUGAAGACAUGGCUUGGAAGCCAAGAGCAGCACAAAAGAAAAAUACCCCAAGGAACAACAUCAAAUUAACUUCACAGAAGUUCCUUUUAAUCCAACCAAAGAGCCAGAAGGAACAAACACCACCCAUCUAAUCUGCUGACUUCAGGGAAAACUACUCUGCAUCUCAGAGACAAACUAUGCAUUUUCUGAUAGGCAGUGUUCUUCUGUUAAAUUAAAGAGAAUCUUAAACUUUGCUAAGAAAAUAACAUAUGCAUUAUAUAUGUAUAUAUAAGUGCUUUAGCAGGGGGGUUGGACUCAAUGACCUCUUGAGAUCCCUUCCAACCUUUGCAAUUAUGUGAUUCUGUGAUUACAAUUCCUUUAUCUGUAUAUAUGUACAUUUUUUUCUGUAGUGGGUGACAAAGACGUCAGCAACAUAAAUUUAUCAGAAAAAAAAGAUCUUCUCAAACCAGUUUAAAUCCUUGUUUGAGUAAGAAGAUACUCAGAGAGGGAAAAAAGCAUUAAAGAUAGGCAAUUCAGUAGGGCUUCAUGGAGAACAGCACUUGUGCAGGCUGCAGAUGUGUUAUAUGAACUACCUCUAGCUUUUCUAGUGGGUUUACACAAGGCAAGCAGCUUUCACGCCAUGUGAAGGGCAGGCUUUCAUGGAUUUGGCUUCUGGAAGUAACAAGUUAAUGACCAGUCAUCUUCAAUUCCUUCAGUCUGGAGCAGAUAAAAAGUUGCUUGCGAGCAUUUGGGAGAUUACAAGGAAAGGAGUAGCAGCCACCAUGGAUUCGUCACUGCAGUUACUUUUCUUUCUAUGGCAGGCUAACAGUCAGGCAUGAACCGUCAGUGGCAUAAAUACAGGAUGAGGAGGAGCUGGUGAGGCAGCUGUUUUUUUCUUCCAAAAUAUCUGAAAAAUAAAUGGAUCACAAUACCCAUCCAU